UUGACCGUAAAUUAAUUUGAUGGUCAACAAGGAGCUUUCUUGUGGACUGUUGAGGGCACAUGCUCUGGUACUCCAUCUUUCAUUGCUUCGGACAGUGUUUACAUCUGAUCCCGAAGGUCAUCAAGGUAUUAAAAACUUGCAUGUGCUCGAAACAUUUGCACACCACGCAUUUCUGCACUUGUUUGAACAAGGCUAACAUACUCCGCUUGCUAAUCUCUGUAGUGCCGUACUGGUGUACUCUACACAAGAGCCAGUUGAGUUGAUCCAUUCAUGGCGCUGCCGGCCGAUCGGCCGGUGCAUCCGUGCCCCGAGACCGCUUGCAUCCGUGCCCUCUCGCUCGCUCUCUUGACAGACAGAUCAUCAGACACCAUUAAUCCCACACCUUAAUUGCCACAAGCAUCAACUGACUACUGCUCCUGGAAAAGACGGAUGGAACCGGAUGUUGGUUGCUCGGACUCGGUCGUAGUACAGGACAGUUGAUGUUACUCCCGUAGCAUCAGGGUUGGCGUCUGUUGCUGUUUUCGCCGGUGGAUGCGUACGCGAGAGUGUGACGCUGCAUGGGAGGGCCUAGAGUCCAAGCAUGUCCACGCCACUUGGCAACCCGCCGAUGAGUGACUAGUCGGACAACCGUCCGCCGUGCCGUGGGUCGUGGAGAAGCGGUGGAAGCAAGGGGACAGCGCGCGGCAUUCACUUGGAGGGUGUUUGAAUCACUAGAGACUAGAGACUAGAGACUAGUAGUAGUCACCUUUAGUCAGUAAACCUCCAAACACCCCUGACUAAUGGGUGACUAAAACUAGUUUAGUCCCUAGUCACCCCACCCCCAACUAAAAGUGACUAAAGUCUCU
rnacentral:lncRNA from 1 species